rnacentral:rRNA from 1 species
UCUGAUAGCUCAACUAUUAGGCUUUCGGGGGAUACUGCCAGACUUGGAACCGGGAGAGGUAAGAGGUACUACAGGGGUAGGAGUGAAAUCUUGUAAUCCCUGUGGGACCACCUGUGGCGAAGGCGUCUUACCAGAACGGGUUCGACGGUGAGGGACGAAAGCUGGGGGCACGAACCGGAUUAGAUACCCGGGUAGUCCCAGCCGUAAACGAUGCUCGCUAGGUGUCAGGCAUGGCGCGACCGUGUCUGGUGCCGCAGGGAAGCCGUGAAGCGAGCCACCUGGGAAGUACGGCCGCAAGGCUGAAACUUAAAGGAAUUGGCGGGGAGCACAACAACGGGUGGAGCCCUGCGGUUUAAUUGGACUCAACGCCGGACAACUCACCGGGGGCGACAGCAAUAUGUAGGCCAAGCUGAAGACUUUGCCUGAAUCGCUGAGAAGAGGUGCAUGG